AGAGUUAUGUCCCAUGACGGAGGAAAGGCCCCAGAACUGUGCUGCAGCCAGGGAGUUUACCAAGGUCUUUUGGCUGGAGAGCCCAGCAGAGCUUACUGGCACCAGCCCAGAUGGCUCACCGGUGCCCCCGAGCAUCUGAGACUCUUCUGCUGUGGAAAGGACCUUGAGAGACAACAGUAAGACCCAACAAGAAACGAAGGUACAACCGUCAGCGGAAACGGCAACAGUAAAGAUGAGGGAGAAAAACAGCCUGCCUAGGAACAACGAUGAGACCCACUAAGGAGCAGGAGACCCCAGACCUGAAAGUUACGAUUGGUCUGAACUACCGCGUGAGGGGUGGGAAACUGAAUUUGGAAAAGCUGUAAUUGCCCAGGGAUUUCUUUGUUCGGGGUCCCUCGUCGGAGGCACCCAGCUCGAGCUGUAAUUACUGCACACACGUUAUUAAAAUGUAAUUAUUUAA